rnacentral:lncRNA from 1 species
AAAGUUCAGUGUGUUACAUGAAAUCUCGAAUGCAAUGUUGCUGGUAGAGCAAGGUGGCACAGGAAACGAAGUCGCCGGAGAAGCCGUGGAAGGUUGAUGGGGUGGACCGGUCAAAGUGGGAGGCAUGCUUUGGAAAGGAUUUACGGUUUUUAACUUGGUUUAGGGUGUGUUUCGUUUAAUGUAAAAGAUGGUGAAAAAAAAAUUUGGUGAAAAAUAGUUUGCGGGUUCGAAUUUAAAAAAAUUUCGUCGAACCUUCUUUCGUUUUCCACGCGAGACAGACGAAAAGGAAAUGGCGUAGGGCGAAAAUUGCCG